UACGAAGGGUGCAAGCGUUAAUCGGAAUUACGGGGCGGAAAGGGUGCGUAGGCGGUUGUUUAAGUCUGCCGUGAAAUCCCCGGGCUCAACCUGGGAAUGGCGGUGGAUACUGGGCAGCUAGAGUGUGUCAGAGGAUGGUGGAAUUCCCGGUGUAGCGGUGAAAUGCGUAGAGAUCGGGAGGAACAUCAGUGGCGAAGGCGGCCAUCUGGGACAACACUGACGCUGAAGCACGAAAGCGUGGGGAGCAAACAGG
rnacentral:rRNA from 1 species